rnacentral:rRNA from 1 species
GACGAACGCUGGCGGCGUGCUUAACACAUGCAAGUCGAACGGAAAGGCCCUGCUUUUGUGGGGUGCUCGAGCGGCGAACGGGUGAGUAACACGUGAGUAACCUGCCCUUGACUUUGGGAUAACUUCAGGAAACUGGGGCUAAUACCGGAUAGGAGCUCCUGCUGCAUGGUGGGGGUUGGAAAGUUUCGGCAGUUGGGGAUGGACUCGCGGCUUAUCAGCUUGUUGGUGGGGUAGUGGCUUACCAAGGCUUUGACGGGUAGCCGGCCUGAGAGGGUGACCGGCCACAUUGGGACUGAGAUACGGCCCAGACUCCUACGGGAGGCAGCAGUGGGGAAUAUUGCACAAUGGGCGGAAGCCUGAUGCAGCAACGCCGCGUGCGGGAUGACGGCCUUCGGGUUGUAAACCGCUUUCGCCUGUGACGAAGCGGGAGUGACGGUAAUGGGUAAAGAAGCACCGGCUAACUACGUG